GGGGCGGGCACGGCUGCGGGGGGCCCUCCGGGCCGCAACCGCAGGAUGUUUCUGUACUGGAGGAAGCGGGGUGCCUACGAGCUGGAGGCUUUGCCGCCCGGCCUGGCGGGGCUGGAGUACGGGGCAGUGGAGCGCUUCUCCUGGAGCUCCAGCCUGGACGUCAGCGAGGAGCUCGGGGCCGAGCCGUGCCCAGAAGAGGAGACAGUGCUGCACUGCCAGAACCCCGACUGCGCCGGAGAGAGGAGGGCGGCCAAGGAAUGCCACC